rnacentral:rRNA from 1 species
AUUGAACGCUGGCGGCAGGCCUAACACAUGCAAGUCGAGCGGAUGAAGGGAGCUUGCUCCUGGAUUCAGCGGCGGACGGGUGAGUAAUGCCUAGGAAUCUGCCUGGUAGUGGGGGAUAACGUCCGGAAACGGGCGCUAAUACGGCAUACGUCCUGAGGGGGAAAGUGGGGGAUCUUCGGACCUCACGCUAUCAGAUGAGCCUAGGUCGGAUUAGCUAGUUGGGGGGGUAAAGGCCUACCAAGGCGACGAUCCGUAACUGGUCUGAGAGGAUGAUCAGUCACACUGGAACUGAGACACGGUCCAGACUCCUACGGGAGGCAGCAGUGGGGAAUAUUGGACAAUGGGCGAAAGCCUGAUCCAGCCAUGCCGCGUGUGUGAAGAAGGUCUUCGGAUUGUAAAGCACUUUAAGUUGGGAGGAAGGGCAGUAAGUUAAUACCUUGCUGUUUUGACGUUACCAACAGAAUAAGCACCGGCUAACGUCG